rnacentral:rRNA from 1 species
UACGGGGGGGGGCAAGCGUUGUUCGGAAUUACUGGGCGUAAAGGGCGCGUAGGCGGCCUGCUAAGUCGGACGUGAAAUCCCUCGGCUCAACCGUGGAAGUGCAUUCGAAACUGCAGGGCUAGAGUCCUGGAGAGGAAGGUGGAAUUCCUGGUGUAGCGGUGAAAUGCGCAGAUAUCAGGAGGAACACCGAUGGCGAAGGCAGGUCACUGGGCCGCAACUGACGCUGAGGAGCGAAAGCAUGGGGAGCGAACAGG